UACAGAGGGUGCGAGCGUUAAUCGGAAUUACUGGGCGUAAAGCGCGCGUAGGCGGCUUUGCAAGUCGGGUGUGAAAUCCCCAGGCUUAACCUGGGAACUGCAUUCGAGACUGCAUUGCUAGAGUAUGGGAGAGGGAAGUGGAAUUUCCGGUGUAGCGAUGAAAUGCGUAGAUAUCGGGAGGAACAUCAGUGGCGAAAGCGACCUCCUGGACCAAUACUGACGCUCAUGUGCGAAAGCGUGGGGAGCAAACAGG
rnacentral:rRNA from 1 species